rnacentral:rRNA from 1 species
CGGCACCUAUCUUCGGAUAGAAGCGAGUGGCGAACGGCUGAGUAACACGUGGAGAACCUGCCCCUCCCCCGGGAUAGCCGCCCGAAAGGACGGGUAAUACCGGAUACCCCGGGGUGCCGCAUGGCACCCCGGCUAAAGCCCGACGGGAGGGGAUGGCUCCGCGGCCCAUCAGGUAGACGGCGGGGUGACGGCCCACCGUGCCGACAACGGGUAGCCGGGUUGAGAGACCGACCGGCCAGAUUGGGACUGAGACACGGCCCAG